UAAGAUCUCCUUUGUUUCAUUAGCCCAUUUCAAGAUCUCUAAGUUGAAAGGUAGAGGAAUAUCCACUCCAUCAUAAUUGACCUUGUUACUUGAAAGAGCAUCUUUGAAAACUUUUAUGCUUCCUUCAGGGGGAUAUGACUCUAGGAUUAACUGAGGAUUAUCAUCAAUGUCUUUCUUCUCUCUCCAGAUUUCCAAAAGAGGAAUAUGUUGCCAAUUAAAAUGUGGACAAGCCAUCAACUCAUAUAUUGAUGGACAUUCAAUGAGCAGCUGGUGCAUGCUCCACUUUGAUAUAAAAAAGUUCUGUUCCCACCCUUCAACAAAUGACAUCCCAUUUAGAAAAGUAGAGGUGAUGUAACCAGGUGCACCCCGGAAAGGUGCAGCAAUGGCAAUCCAAUUCUUCACAUAUUUCUCGAAAAUAUCACUGUGCAAGGACAUGAAACAUUUAACCAGAAGACCACCCAUAGAAUGGCUUAUGAUGUUUAUCUUCUUCCCACCAGAAGCAAUAUACACUGACUCUAAUUUUGUAGCAAAGCACUCCAUUGUCUCUGGCAACCUAUUACUUUGACGAAAAUCAUACCCAAAACCAAACAAAGUUUUUCCCUCUUGAAAACCCCACUUGAUCAUUUCAACAAUCAUAUCAUGGAAAUAAUAGACACAAUCACGUCCUAUUACCAGGUCAGGAUCCAAGACAUCAAUUGCAUACAAUCCAUAUCUAUCCUCUGGUACCAGAAUACUUGUUUUUGGAUCUAAAGACACGGUUUUACCAGUAGAAGGAUCGAAGCGCGACCAAAGCUUAGUGCGGAACUUAUAAUCGGCCCUAAGAAUUCGAACCCAAACCCGUUCAUCCCUUUUACAAUUGUCAGUGUCCAUUGCCUUCAGAAUCGAACCCGCGAUACCAGGCACCAACAAGACCGGGUCGAGAUUGGAAUCCACAUAAGGUUGCGACUCCUUCUUUAUCAGCUUCAGCCAUAGCUCUACCGAUUGCAAAAUGUCCUCCAGCAACACGGCCAUAUCCGAUNAAAACCCAAAAAAAAAAGAAAAAUUACGCGCCCGAUUCUUCUAUAACAGAGACGUUUUGCAGGGAUUAAGAUUUUGAUGAUGGCAAUUUAAAGAAUAAAAUAGACUUCGGUAAAUGAAAAUAGCACAAAGGUUUGAGAUUAGGGGGGUUGGGGGUUGUCUCGAUUAGGAACCGUAUAGCUACAGAUGAAAACGAGAGCAACGCUUUUCUGGCUACCGAGACACAGAAAC
rnacentral:misc_RNA from 1 species